UGGAUGGAUGGAAUGAAUAUGCAAUCGCAACUCCUUAAUACCUCCCCGGAUGUACAUGAUCCAAGUUUUUGUCGGUUGGGUUCUAUCCGUUAAAGGAUUGUUAGUAGGAAUGUGGUCUUGAAUGGAUUAUGCCGGUGUGCCUGUGCUUGACAUGGAUGGUCAAUAUACUUUCCCUUUGUAAUGGGAGAAUAUCGUCGUGGACAGUAUGUUGGAGAUGCCUCUUGUUAACACCGACAACCAGAUUUUCGCAUUGUGAUGUAUCACGAUAUCCUGGGAGUUCGUCGAUUUGUUGUCUCUCUCCACCUUGGUGUAGUUUCGUGUGGAGCCUAAGUAGUUUUUGUCUUUGAUUCUCUGUACAGUAUGGGAGGAAUGCGAAGUCUGUUGUUUCCCACGUUUCGCUUGCCAACAGCAUCAAACAUUUCAUCCUCCUUCCGUUGCACAAGGCGAUUUCUCCAUAAGUACGAGGUGGGUGACGAUAUUUCUGUGCGUUAGAAUGGUAGCAUCCUCAGAAAAGCGAAUUGGUUAUCCUUAGUCGUCGUCGCUUGCUAAUGCCAGAGUGUGAGCUUGUCGAAAGGAGUACCUUCGCCAUCGCGAUUGUCAUCAUCCACCUUUUCGUGCUGCAAACGAGCAGCAGCAGCAGGGAGCUAUGCAGACUAUAGGGCAAGGGCAAAGCUCGAGCCAUGGUCAAUCCUUUCCUGCAGUGGUUAGUGACAAAGAGCCCUCUUGCUUGUGGGGUUAAUCUACUGUAGCCCCAGAACUGGUCUCUCUUGUCCGAGGACAGAAGACUUGCUCUUGGCUUGUCGGUCUGGUAUAACUAUAAAUAAUGAGUUUCCAAAGGAAAAAAAUGUAUGUUAAUGGAACACUGAACACAUAAACAGUUUUACAUCGUUGGUUUUA